GCCGGGUGUGGCGGCAUGCACCUGUAGUCCCAGCUACUUGGGAAGCUGAGGUGGGUGGAUGGCUUGAGCCCAGGAGUUCUGUGCAACAUCAAUCGCAUGUUCGUGAUAAGUUCAGCAUCAAUAUGGUGACCUCCUGGGAGCAAGGGAUCACCAGGUUGCCCAAGUGGGGGUGAACUGGCCCAGGGAAGAAAUGGAGCUGGCCAAAACUCCAGUGAUGAUCAGUAGUGGGAUCACACCUGUGAAUAGCCACCGCAUUCCAGCCUGGACAAACAUGGUAUCUUAUU
ensembl:misc_RNA Metazoa_SRP Metazoan signal recognition particle RNA